CCCUCCUGCACCUCCUCCCGAAGAUGGAGAUUGGUCUCCCCCUUCACCAGUAUGUCCUCCACCACUACCACCUCCGCCGCCACCUCCUCCUCCUAUAUGUCCCACACCUUUACCACCACCGUCACCACCUCCUCCUAAACAUCCGCCGCCACCUCCACCGCCAUCUCCUCCUCCUCCUCCACCGCCACCUCCACCACCACCUCCACCGCGGCCAACAGGGCUUCCUCCAAAUAUUAAGAGAGAUUACUUCACAAUUCAGAAAUUCAAGAAGACUAUUACUCAUGACCCCUUCCAUAUAACAGAUU
rnacentral:lncRNA from 1 species